ensembl:lncRNA
CUAGUGGUUACAUUAACUAGUGGUUACAUUAACUAGUGGUUACAUUAACUAGUGGUUACAUUAACUAGUGGUUACAUUAACUUGUGGUGACAUGAAAUUGAUAUAUAUAUAUAUUUUUUGCUGUAUCUCCAGGUGUCAUGCUCCACAGGAAGACCUGUACAGAGUACAUCAGAUUAUAUCUCCAUUAAGAGCUGUGUACCAGUCUGUAUUCCGCCUGCACUAUCUCAGCCUGCCAGAUGGAAGGCCUGAGAGUAGACUGAGGCUUUAUCCCAAUUUGCUCCCCUUUUCCCCAGUAUUUUUUAAACAACGUGGUGCAGCAGGGGGAGGCCGGGUGCGUUUUUUUAACAUCUGUAAUUUGUAGAUAAUAGAAGAAGAAUCGACUGCACGUCCAGAGCUGAAUUGUUAAGGUUCAGGAGGCAAAAGGCUAAACUGGAGAAACAGGAGCCAGUCUCUGCACACCUCCAGUCAGAUCCACAUUCAUUUAAUUGCGUUUAAUAAUAUAUUCAUUGAGUUUUCGGUCCGGUCGACCUUCGUCAGAGCAUAUCUCCAGGUAAUCUCACUGGUGGUAAUCCCACUAUUGUUUAUUGGAGAUAUGCUCUGAUGAAAGUAGACUGAUCGAAAGCUCAACCACAAUGAAAGAUGAUUUGCAUCUGACUGGAGUUGUCAGGAAAUGUUUUCCUGUUUCUCCUGAACAUCUGUAGCUGUCAAUUCCUCCAAUCAGAAGCAAAUACCCUGAUAGGAUUAGGUGCCUGGCCUUAAAUGAUAACAAAUCAAGUAAAAAACAAACAAUAAUUUAAUUUGUAUUUAUUUUUAGCACACUACAAUGGGAGUAGGGUGCCAUUUGGGACACCCUCUGAGCAUUCUGGGAGCAGCUGAGUUUAUUUUGGCCAGACAGCAACUUUACAUAAUUUGGUGAUCCAUCGUAGGGGGGGUCCAGAGACUGUUGACUUAGUGGAUACCAAACCUACUGCAGUUACAGAAGUCUGUUUGUGUCAGUUAGCCAAGAAUACCCGGUCAACACUAACAGCAGAGAUGGAGUCGGACAAAACAGAAGUCUUUAGUAGGAUUAUCAGAGUGUGAAAGUUUACCAAGAUGGUUCUGGAGAAAAUGUGCUACAGGAAAACAGGGAGAGUUAAAGCAGGGCCGGCUCUAGCCUUUUUCGGGGCCCUACAUUUGAUUUGAUUAGGGGGCCCCCCCCACCUCAUGACAAAACAUUUUAGUGGCCCCCCCUUAAUGGUGGAGAGGACCAUUCUUUAGUUGCCCCCCCUAAUGGUGGAGAGACAUUUCAGUUCCCCCCUCCUUAUGGUGGAGAGACAUUUUAGUGCCCCCCCUUAAUGGUGAGGACGAUUUUAGUUCCCCCCCCCUUGAAUGGUGGAGAGACAUUUUAGUGCUCCCCUUAAUGGUGGAGGACAUUUAGUGUUCCCCCCCUUAAUGGUGGAGAGGCAUUUAGUGCCCCCCUUUAUGGUGGAGAGCAUUUUGUGGCCCCCCCUUAAUGUGGAGCGGACAUUUAGUGCCCCCCCCCCCCUUAAUGGUGGACAGACAUUUUAGUGCCCCCCCCUUAAUGGCAGAGAGACCAAGAGAAAAACUGAUGAUGAACACCACAUUUCGAAAUUGCACCUGGUCUAUUCUACUAUUCU